rnacentral:pre_miRNA from 1 species
UAUUUGGCACUUGUGGAAUAAUCUUCACUUUCUUUUAGAUUAUACACCGGUGCCAAGUAAA